rnacentral:piRNA from 1 species
UAGCUUUAUUAAACGAGUAGU